CCAAGGGCAACGCUGAAGAUGUUGGCAUUGGACACGAGACAGGGCGUCUCAUUCUUUGACCAUGGAGACAAGAGCUGCAAAGCUCUUGCAAAGCAAAAAGGCCCAUGGAAGAUGGGACAUGCUUAUGUGAACAAGACCUCAUGUCAACUCCAUUCCUCCCCCAGUGCCCAGUCCAAUGCCUGGCACACAGGAAAUGCAUGCUGGAUGAACAUGUCUUGAGCAGCAAAACUGGAGACCUUGCUGAAUAUAUCAGGGGUUGCUGUAUAAUUUACUGUGUUCUGUCUGUCCAGUGAAUUCCACAUUAUAGUCAGUUCAUUCAUUCUACAAGUAUAGUAGUUUAGUUGCUACUGUUUCUAGACUAUGCCAGUGAGCCUCUGUGGUCAGCUUUUACCCUAUGUUCAUGUAGCUCCAUGGCCCUGGGCUGCACCUUUGGGGAGAUGUGCUUCCUCUUUAGUGUAAGAAAUGCCGUAAUCUAUUAUUUCUCAUCUAUCCUUAUUUUGUAACAACUCCAGUAGUUAGUAUAAAUGGAGAAUAUGAGAUUCUACUACGAACUACAGAAUCAAAGAUUGGAAAAACCUACAUUUUCAAGAAAGAGGAGAGUCGAAUAAAGCUUGGUACAUUAGGAGGAUACCAUGCUUUGUUUCCAUAUAAAAGUGUGCUUCUGUAAGUAUUGACAUGUGUAUACAUAAAAUAUCUCUGCAGGGGGAUUAAACAAGAAAUCUGUAAAAUUGACCAUCUGUAAGUGGUAGGGGGUUGGGCACUGUAAACCGGUAGGAAGGAAGGCUUACUGUCAACCAUCUACUUACCUUUUUAACAAUUUAAUUUUACCAACUGCG
rnacentral:lncRNA from 10 species